GCGCCCAUAGCUUAACGGAUAGAGUAAUGGUUUGCGGAACCAUUGAUCCCAGUUCAAUUCUGGGUGGGCGCA
rnacentral:tRNA from 1 species